rnacentral:misc_RNA from 1 species
GGCCGGGAUUUAGUGGCAACUUCUAUGAGGUGCUGGGGAUCCCGCAGGACGGGAGUUUUGACGAGAUCAAGCAGGCGUACAAGAGGAUGGCGCUCAAGUACCAUCCGGAUGUAUCCCCGCCGGACUGUGCCGUGCAGUAUACUCAGCAUUUUAUUGAGCUGAAGGAGGCCUAUGAGACGCUGUCGGAUCCUGCAACUAGGGCGGUUUAUGACCGGGAUCUCGCCGGAGGACUCCACUUCACCUUUUCCCGGCGGAGUUGGGACGAGAAAAUGGAGAAGCAAUCGAGAUGGAAAGCCAAUUGGGAGGAUCAACUUGAAGGGUUGCAGGAAAGGAGCAUGAAAAAACAGUCAGGAAAUGUAUCCUGGGCAGCUCAGAUGCGGCGAAAAAGGGAUGAAUCAUCAAGCGAAUAAUGUUCUCUCUCUAGGUUCGAUAGAGGCAAUGUGGAUAAUCCCAGCCAUUCUACGGUAGAAUCCGGCAGGAGGUUGUAGCCAGUAUACCGUAGAAUCUAGCAGGUGACUUUAGC